GCCCAGGUGGCGGAAUUGGUAGACGCACUACCUUGAGGUGGUAGCGGUUUAGGCUGUGGGGGUUCGAGUCCCCCCUUGGGCA
rnacentral:tRNA from 1 species